AGUGAACGCUGGCGGUAGGCCUAACACAUGCAAGUCGAACGGCAGCACAGUAAGAGCUUGCUCUUACGGGUGGCGAGUGGCGGACGGGUGAGGAAUACAUCGGAAUCUACUUUUUCGUGGGGGAUAACGUAGGGAAACUUACGCUAAUACCGCAUACGACCUACGGGUGAAAGCAGGGGAUCUUCGGACCUUGCGCGAUUGAAUGAGCCGAUGUCGGAUUAGCUAGUUGGCGGGGUAAAGGCCCACCAAGGCGACGAUCCGUAGCUGGUCUGAGAGGAUGAUCAGCCACACUGGAACUAGGAAACGGGCCAGACCCCUACGGGGGGCAGCAGGGGGGAAAUUUGGCAAAGGGGGGCAAGCCUGAUCCAGCCAUCCCGGGUGGGUGAAGAAGGCCUUCGGGUGGUAAAGCCCUUUUGUUGGGAAAAAAAAGAAGCAGGUUAAUCCCCCGCUGUUCUGGCGGUACCCAAAGAAUAAGCACCGGCUAACUUCGU
rnacentral:rRNA from 1 species